rnacentral:rRNA from 1 species
GGCCUAACACAUGCAAGUCGAACGGCAGCACGGGGGCAACCCUGGUGGCGAGUGGCGAACGGGUGAGUAAUACAUCGGAACGUGUCCUGUAGUGGGGGAUAGCCCGGCGAAAGCCGGAUUAAUACCGCAUACGCUCUACGGAGGAAAGGGGGGGAUCUUAGGACCUCUCGCUACAGGGGCGGCCGAUGGCAGAUUAGCUAGUUGGUGGGGUAAAGGCCUACCAAGGCGACGAUCUGUAGCUGGUCUGAGAGGACGACCAGCCACACUGGGACUGAGACACGGCCCAGACUCCUACGGGAGGCAGCAGUGGGGAAUUUUGGACAAUGGGCGCAAGCCUGAUCCAGCAAUGCCGCGUGUGUGAAGAAGGCCUUCGGGUUGUAAAGCACUUUUGUCCGGAAAGAAAACGCUCUGGUUAAUACCCGGGGCGGAUGACGGUACCGGAAGAAUAAGCACCGGCUAACUACGUGCCAGCAGCCGCGGUAAUACGUAGGGUGCAAGCGUUAAUCGGAAUUACUGGGCGUAAAGCGUGCGCAGGCGGUCCGCUAAGACAGAUGUGAAAUCCCCGGGCUUAACCUGGGAACUGCAUUUGUGACUGGCGGGCUAGAGUAUGGCAGAGGGGGGUAGAAUUCCACGUGUAGCAGUGAAAUGCGUAGAGAUGUGGAGGAAUACCGAUGGCGAAGGCAGCCCCCUGGGCCAAUACUGACGCUCAUGCACGAAAGCGUGGGGAGCAAACAGGAUUAGAUACCCUGGUAGUUCACGCCCUAAACGAUGUCAACUAGUUGUCGGGUCUUCAUUGACUUGGUAACGAAGCUAACGCGUGAAGUUGACCGCCUGGGGAGUAC